AUAGAACGCUGGCGGCAGGCCUAAAACAUGCCAGUCGAACGAGUGGCGGACGGGUGAGUAAUGACUGGGAAACUGCCGGAGGGAGGGGGAUAACAUCUGGCAAAGGUAGCUAAUACCGCAUAUCAUCGGAUAGGCACAGAUGGGAUGAGCUAGACGGUGGGGUAACUGCUCACCUAUGCGACGAUCCCGAGCUGGUCUGAGAGGAUGACCAGCCCCCCUGGAACGGCACCACGGUCCAGACUCCUACGGGAGGCAGCAGUGGGGAAUAUUGCACAAUGUGCGCAAGCCUGAUGCAGCCAUGCCGCGUGUAUGAAGAAGGCCUUCGUGUUGUAAAGUACUUUCAGCGGGGAGGCGUUACCCGCAGAAGAAGCACCGGCUAACUCCGUGCCAGCAGCCGCGGUAAUUC
rnacentral:rRNA from 1 species